rnacentral:rRNA from 1 species
CCUACGGGAGGCAGCAGUGGGGAAUUUUGGACAAUGGGCGCAAGCCUGAUCCAGCCAUGCCGCGUGUCUGAAGAAGGCCUUCGGGUUUUAAAGGACUUUUGUUAGGGAAGAAAAAGGAGCGGUUAAUACCCGUGUCUGCUGACGGUACCUAAAGAAUAAGCACCGGCUAACUACGUGCCAGCAGCCGCGGUAAUACGUAGGGUGCGAGCGUUAAUCGGAAUUACUGGGCGUAAAGCGAGCGCAGACGGUUACUUAAGCAGGAUGUGAAAACCCCGGGCUUAACCUGGGAUCUGCGUUUUGAACUGGGUGGCUAGAGUAUGUCCGAGGUGGGCAGAAUUCCAGGUGUAGCAGUGAAAUGCGUAGAGAUGUGGAGGAAUACCGAUUGCGAAGGCAGCCCCCUGGGAUAAUACUGACGUUCAUGCUCGAAAGCGUGGGUAGCAAACAGGAUUAGAUACCCUGGUAGUC